GGUAGCCAAUUGGUUAAGCAUUUGGCUGCUAACCAAAAGGUCGGCAGUUCGAAUCUACCAACCG
rnacentral:tRNA from 1 species